rnacentral:tRNA from 1 species
CAGGGAGACAACAAAAUGUUUAAUAUUAUUAUUUUGUCACCUUAGGUCGAUCGGUAUCUCACGUUUUUAAUUUAUUAAGAAUUUCAUUUCCUAAGUUUUUCUAGGUCACACCCAUUAUUUUUCCUGGGCCAUUAGCUCAGGUGGUUAGAGCGCACCCCUGAUAAGGGUGAGGUCCCUGGUUCAGGUCCAGGAUAGCCCAUAUCUCUAUGUUGGGGGUAUAGCUCAGUUGGUAGAGCGCCUGCUUUGCAAGCAGGAUGUCAGCGGUUCGAGUCCGCUUACCUCCACUGAUCACCACCUCUUCCAUAAUCGGUAGAAAGGAAAUUUUUUGAGUUGUGAUCAAAUUCUGAAAGAAUCUAGCUUCCUAAUGAAAUCAUUAAGAUGCUGGACUCAUUGAAUUAAUUUCAUUGUUUUCAGAGAACCUUGACAACUGCAUAGAUUAUUUUUUAAAGACAAUAAGCAUCUUUAAUGAUGCAGAUUUAUUAUUUGUGCAAAUGCACUAAUAACAAUUCUAUUAAGCUGAUGCUUCAAUUAUGAAGUUAUU